AUUGAACGCUGGCGGCAGGCCUAACACAUGCAAGUCGAACGAGUGGCGGACGGGUGAGUAAUGUCUGGGAAACUGCCUGAUGGAGGGGGAUAACUACUGGAAACGGUAGCUAAUACCGCAUACCAUCAGAUGGGCCCAGAUGGGAUUAGCUUGGUGGUGGGGGAACGGCUCACCAAGGCGACGAUUCCUAGCUGGUCUGAGCGGAUGACCAGCCACACUGGGUCUGCGACAGGGUACAGACCCCUACGGGAGGCAGCAGUGGGGUAUGUUGCACAAUGGGCGCAAGCCUGAUGCAGCCCUGCCGCGUGUAUGAAGAAGGCCUUCGGGUUGUCAAGUACUUUCAGCGGUGAGGCGUUACCCGCAGAAGAAGCACCGGCUAACUCCGUGCCAGCAGCCGCGGUAAUUC
rnacentral:rRNA from 1 species